AACGUACGCUGGCGGCACGCCUAACACAUGCAAGUCGAACGAAGUAGCAAUACUUAGUGGCAGACGGGUGAGUAACAUGUAGGUAUCUGCCCUUUGGCCUGGAAUAACACGAGGAAACUUGUGCUAAUACCGGAUAAGUCUUUACGGAGAAAGCUUUAUGCACCAUUGGAUGAGCCUGCACUUGAUUAGUUUGUUGGUGGGGUAAUGGCCUACCAAGACUGUGAUCAAUAGCUGAUUUGAGAGGAUGAUCAGCCACAUUGGGACUGAGACACGGCCCAAACUCCUACGGGAGGCAGCAGUGGGGAAUCUUGCACAAUGGAGGAAACUCUGAUGCAGCGAUGCCGCGUGAGUGAAGAAGGCCCUUGGGUUGUAAAGCUCUUUCGUCGGGGAAGAAAAUGACUGUACCCGAAUAAGAAGGUCCGGCUAACUUCGUGCCAGCAGCCGCGGUAAUACGAAGGGACCUAGCGUAGUUCGGAAUUACUGGGCUUAAAGAGUUCGUAGGUGGUUGAAAAAGUUAGUGGUGAAAUCCCAGAGCUUAACUCUGGAACUGCCAUUAAAACUUUUCAGCUAGAGUAUGAUAGAGGAAAGUAGAAUUUCUAGUGUAGAGGUGAAAUUCGUAGAUAUUAGAAAGAAUACCAAUUGCGAAGGCAGCUUUCUGGAUCAUUACUGACACUGAGGAACGAAAGCAUGGGUAGCGAAGAGGAUUAGAUACCCUCGUAGUCCAUGCCGUAAACGAUGUGUGUUAGACGUUGGAAAUUUAUUUUCAGUGUCGCAGGGAAACCGAUAAACACACCGCCUGGGGAGUACGACCGCAAGGUUAAAACUCAAAUGAAUUGACGGGGACCCGCACAAGUAGUGGAGCAUGUGGUUUAAUUCGAAGAUACGCGCAGAACCUUACCAACACUUGACAUGUUCGUCGCGACUCUAAGAGAUUAGAGUUUUCGGUUCGGCCGGACGAAACACAGGUGCUGCAUGGCUGUCGUCAGCUCGUGUCGUGAGAUGUUGGGUUAAGUCCCGCAACGAGCGCAACCCUCACUUUUAGUUGCCAUCAUUAAGUUGGGCACUCUGAAAGAACUGCCAGUGAUAAGCUGGAGGAAGGUGGGGAUGACGUCAAGUCCUCAUGGCCCUUACGUGUUGGGCUACACACGUGCUACAAUGGUAUCUACAACAGGAAGCAAGACUGCGAAGUUAAGCAAAUCCCUAAAAGAUACCUCAGUUCGGAUUGCACUCUGCAACUCGAGUGCAUGAAGCUGGAAUUACUAGUAAUCGUGGAUCAGCGUGCCACGGUGAAUGCGUUCCCGGGUCU
rnacentral:rRNA from 1 species